rnacentral:rRNA from 1 species
UACGUAGGUGGCAAGCGUUGUCCGGAGUUAUUGGGCGUAAAGCGCGCGCAGGCGGUGCGGUAAGUCUCUGGUGAAAGCGCUCGGCUUAACUGGGCGAGGGCCGGGGGAGACUGCCACGCUGGAGGGGAGCAGAGGCGAGUGGGAAUUCCGAGUGUAGUGGUGAAAUGCGUAGAGAUCCGGGAGGAACACCAGUGGCGAAGGCGGCUCGCUGGGCUCUACCUGACGCUGAGGCGCGAAAAGCGUGGGGAGCGAACCGG